rnacentral:rRNA from 1 species
UACGAAAGGGGCUAGCGUUGCUCGGAAUCACUGGGCGUAAAGGGUGCGUAGGCGGGUCUUUAAGUCAGAGGUGAAAUCCUGGAGCUCAACUCCAGAACUGCCUUUGAUACUGAGGAUCUUGAGUUCGGGAGAGGUGAGUGGAACUGCGAGUGUAGAGGUGAAAUUCGUAGAUAUUCGCAAGAACACCAGUGGCGAAGGCGGCUCACUGGCCCGAUACUGACGCUGAGGCACGAAAGCGUGGGGAGCAAACAGG